rnacentral:rRNA from 1 species
GAUGAACGCUAGCGGCAGGCUUAACACAUGCAAGUCGAGGGGUAUAGUUCUUCGGAGCUAGAGACCGGCGCACGGGUGCGUAACGCGUAUGCAAUCUACCUUUUGCAGAGGGAUAGCCCAGAGAAAUUUGGAUUAAUACCUCAUGGUAUGUGAGAAUGGCAUCAUUUUCACAUUAAAGUCACAACGGCAAAAGAUGAGCAUGCUUCCCAUUAGCUAGUUGGUAAGGUAACGGCUUACCAAGGCAACGAUGGGUAGGGGUCCUGAGAGGGGGAUCCCCCACACUGGUACUGAGACACGGACCAGACUCCUACGGGAGGCAGCAUUGAGGAAUAUUGGACAAUGGGCGCAAGCCUGAUCCAGCCAUGCCGCGUGCAGGAUGACGGUCCUAUGGAUUGUAAACUGCUUUUGUACAGGAAGAAACACUGGUUCGUGAACCAGCUUGACGGUACUGUAAGAAUAAGGAUCGGCUAACUCCGUGCCAGCAGCCGCCGUAACAC